GAUGAACGCUGGCGGCGUGCCUAAUACAUGCAAGUCGAGCGAACAGACGAGGAGCUUGCUCCUCUGACGUUAGCGGCGGACGGGUGAGUAACACGUGGAUAACCUACCUAUAAGACUGGGAUAACUUCGGGAAACCGGAGCUAAUACCGGAUAAUAUAUUGAACCGCAUGGUUCAAUAGUGAAAGACGGUUUUGCUGUCACUUAUAGAUGGAUCCGCGCCGCAUUAGCUAGUUGGUAAGGUAACGGCUUACCAAGGCGACGAUGCGUAGCCGACCUGAGAGGGUGAUCGGCCACACUGGAACUGGGCCACGGUCCAGACUCCUACGGGAGGCAGCAGUAGGGAAUCUUCCGCAAUGGGCGAAAGCCUGACGGAGCAACGCCGCGUGAGUGAUGAAGGUCUUCGGAUCGUAAAACUCUGUUAUUAGGGAAGAACAAAUGUGUAAGUAACUAUGCACGUCUUGACGGUAACUGAUCAGAAAGCAACGGCUAACUACGUG
rnacentral:rRNA from 1 species